ACUUUUAAAAAGAAGAUAGACUAUCAUAAAUCUUCAUCAUCAUGUAUGGGAUUGCCCGAAACGCUGUUUUCCAGGCCCUACGAUCAUCUAGAGCAAAAGUGGUUAGACGUCCGCAGUCUUUUCGAAUCCAGAAACUUGGUCAACAACAAACGAGUAGAAAUGCAUGUGGCUUCGGCUCAACUUGCAAAGAAAUGGCACCACUCUCCACAGGAGGACGUCUGUUUGCCUUUCUCACCAUUUUUUCGAGCUGUUAUGUACCAUGGGUCUACUAUCUGGUUAUGAUACCAGAAUAUCAGAAGAGGGACGAUGGGCCUGCAUUCAACUAGACCUGGAAUCGAACUAGCCUAGACCCACUGAAUAUUGAUCGCCAUGGGAACCACAAGCUUAAUAUCUGAUGAACUAUCCUCAAAAUUGUGAAAUUUAAUUUUCAUAGAGAAAUCAUGAAGAUGUAAAAAUAGAUUUGUAUUGCUGUCAAAUGUUCUUGAUUGUCAAAACCCUUCCAUUGUAAAUAAAUAAGAAAUGGAAUGAAAGCUA